AUGGUUGAAACAACAAAACAUAGAACUUUUCAAUUGGUAUAUUACCUCAUCGAGUUGACAUUGAUUCUUCCAGUGGCAACUACAAAGGUCAAGCGAAUAUUUUCAGCAAUGACGAUCAUCGAAACAGAUUUACGCAAUAAGAUAUCGGAUGAUUGGCUCAAUGAUUUAAUCGUGUGCUAAUGUGAGAAAAUGAUAUUAAAAAAUAUUCCAAAUGAGCAAAUUAUGGUACGAUUCUAGAAAAAGAAAGAUCGCAAAGGACAUUUGCCUCGUGAGUAA
rnacentral:rRNA from 1 species